UCAAGGCUGCUUUCCAACUUGACCGUGGCCACAAAAGCACAGACCCCACGGCUUCUUGGCAAUUAAAUGGUUUUCACACUUCUAUUUUUAAAAGGCUUGGAAACGAGGAACGUAGGGGAUCAGGGCGGUUGGGUAAACGAAUGUCUUUCCAAAGUUCUGCUAGCCAGAGGCCCUGUCCUGGCAGGGGUCCCAAAGCAACUGUGAAACCAAGAUGCCACGACAGGGCCCGGUCUGCAAGCCUGUUCCUCAGAUGGGAAAAACAGAAACAUCCCAGUCCCUCAGUCUGUCCUAUGUGACGACAAAGAGUUCGUGUCCCCAAGUGGUCCAGAUGAUUGUCCCCUGCUCUGCACGGGAAUGUAAAGCUUUCACAUUUGGGAUUCUAUUGCACGGGUCCCGGGAAGCCGACUCAGAUGGAGAAGAAUUAUCUUGGCUGCUGUUCAGAGAAUGGCCGGGAGCUGGAGUUUGCAGCCCCAGAUGCUCGGAGAAUGGCGUGUCCCCAGAGUCUGCAGCCCCAGAUGCACUGGAAGCACAGAGAGGUUUGAGAAGAACUCAGCCCGGGCCUCACCUCCAGACAUCCCCAUCCAGUUGGUCUGUGGGGAGGCAAAGUGAAGAGGGGCGCAGUGGUCCAGCCAGGUGAUGAGAGCACCUUGGACAGGAAGGGAGCUAAACUACCUGUCAGGUUCAAAAGCCAAGCCCAUCAGCCCUGGGUGUGGGUUUGUCGGAAAGGACAAGAAAGGACUCUGCCCGGAGGAGUCCGCUCUCCUGCCAGGAAGAGGAGGACGUGGCCGUUAGACAGCAAGCCCCACAGCUGUCUGAAGGAGGGUGAAACGUGUGCCUGCAGGAGUGAAGUUUCGAGUUAACCCCCGGAGAGGGCAGCCCUGAUGGAGAAAACCCAAGAAGGAAAGUGCGGAGGUGGGAAAUUAUCUGAUGUGCUGUGUGGCUGGCACACGAAGCUAGGUAGGAAAAAAUGGGCUUCUUGCAAGGACUGGCUGAACCGCCAUCUCUUUCCCACUGACUUCGCCCUGGAAUUUCAUCAGCCCCGGGUUAUUUUGGGCCUUUCGUUUCUCCUCACCGGAGGUCGAGCCACUGUCUCUUGAUAUUCUGACUUCAGAACGGAUGAAAGUCUGAGAUUUCAAUCAAAAGCUUAAGAAAAUAAUAAUCCUUGGUUGCCCUAAUUCUUUCCUG
rnacentral:lncRNA from 1 species